UACGUAGGGGGCUAGCGUUGUCCGGAAUCAUUGGGCGUAAAGGGCGCGUAGGUGGCCCGGUCAGUUCGUGGUGAAAGCGCGGGGCUCAACCCUGCGUCGGCCAUGAAUACUGCCGCGGCUGGAGCACUGUAGAGGCAGGCGGAAUUCCGGGGUGUAGCGGUGGAAUGCGUAGAGAUCCGGAAGAACACCGGUGGCGAAGGCGGCCUGCUGGUCCAGCACCGGACGUCAGGCACGAAAGCGUGGGGAGCAACAGG
rnacentral:rRNA from 1 species